GAUGAAGAACGUAGCAAAAUGCGAUAAGUAAUGUGAAUUGCAGAAUUCAGUGAAUCAUCGAAUCUUUGAACGCACAUUGCGCCCGCCAGUAUUCUGGCGGGCAUGCCUGUUCGAGCGUCAUUUCAACCCUCAAGCACAGCUUGGUGUUGGGACUCGCGUUAAUUCGCGUUCCCCAAAUUGAUUGGCGGUCACGUCGAGCUUCCAUAGCGUAGUAGUAAAACCCUCGUUACUGGUAAUCGUCGCGGCCACGUCGUUAAACCCCAACUUCUGAAUGUUGACCUCGGAUCAGGUAGGAAUACCCGCUGAACUUAAGCAUAUCAAUAAGCGGAGGA
rnacentral:misc_RNA from 1 species